rnacentral:rRNA from 1 species
CAAGUAUUAAAGGUCUUGCCUGCCCAGUGAAAUAAAUUUUUAACGGCCGCGGUAUCCUAACCGUGCAAAGGUAGCGUAAUCACUUGCCCCCUAAUUAGGGGCCGGUAUGAAAGGCUAGAUGAGGACAGCCCUGUCUCUUAGGGGAGUGUAAUGAAACUGAUCCCCUAGUACAAAAGCUAGGAUACACACAUAAGACGAGAAGACCCUGUGGAGCUUUAAAACACUAAUGCUACCCUAAAGAUAAACAAUUUACAAAAUCUUUCCCCACGCCCAAUACACCUAACAUGAGUUUUUAGUUGGGGCAACUAUGGAGCAAAACAAAACCUCCAAGUCAACACUAGACCUUAGGCACACACGCCAAACGCAUCCUGCCACCCGACCCAGUAAAACUGACCAACGAACCAAGUUACCCCAGGGAUAACAGCGCCAUCCCCUUCAAGAGUCCCUAUCGCCGAGGGGGCUUACGACCUCGAUGUUGGAUCAGGACACCCCAGUGGCGCAGCCGCUACUAAAGGUCCGUUUGUUCAACGGUUAAU